GAUGAACGCUGGCGGCGUGCCUAAUACAUGCAAGUAGAACGCUGAAGCUUGGUGCUUGCACCGAGCGGAUGAGUUGCGAACGGGUGAGUAACGCGUAGGUAACCUGCCUCUUAGCGGGGGAUAACUAUUGGAAACGAUAGCUAAUACCGCAUAAAAGUCGAUAUCGCAUGAUAUUGAUUUGAAAGGUGCAAUUGCAUCACUAAAAGAUGGACCUGCGUUGUAUUAGCUAGUAGGUGAGGUAACGGCUCACCAAGGCGACGAUACAUAGCCGACCUGAGAGGGUGAUCGGCCACACUGGGACUGUGACACGGCCCAGACUCCUACGGGAGGCAGCAGUAGGGAAUCUUCGGCAAUGGGGGCAACCCUGACCGAGCAACGCCGCGGGAGUGAAGAAGGUUUUCGGAUCGUAAAGCUCUGUUGUAAGUGAAGAACGAGUGUGAGAGUGGAAAGUUCACACUGUGACGGUAACUUACCAGAAAGGGACGGCUAACUACGUG
rnacentral:rRNA from 1 species